CUUCACCGAGCCCAGCCACAGCGGCUGAUCGUCCGGCCGGUCCUGCCCGUACGUCGCGAUGAGGGCCUGUGCCUC
rnacentral:antisense_RNA from 1 species